rnacentral:rRNA from 1 species
GACGAACGCUGGCGGCGUGCUUAACACAUGCAAGUCGAACGGAAAGGCCCUGCUUUUGUGGGGUGCUCGAGUGGCGAACGGGUGAGUAACACGUGAGUAACCUGCCCUUGACUUUGGGAUAACUUCAGGAAACUGGAGCUAAUACCGGAUAGGAGCUCCUGCUGCAUGGUGGGGGUUGGAAAGUUUCGGCGGUUGGGGAUGGACUCGCGGCUUAUCAGCUUGUUGGUGGGGUAGUGGCUUACCAAGGCUUUGACGGGUAGCCGGCCUGAGAGGGUGACCGGCCACAUUGGGACUGAGAUACGGCCCAGACUCCUACGGGAGGCAGCAGUGGGGAAUAUUGCACAAUGGGCGGAAGCCUGAUGCAGCAACGCCGCGUGCGGGAUGACGGCCUUCGGGUUGUAAACCGCUUUCGCCUGUGACGAAGCGUGGGUGACGGUAAUGGGUAAAGAAGCACCGGCUAACUACGUG